ACGCUGCGUUUUUACAAAUUUUAAGCUUUAAACAAAAGAAAAAGCGUUUUCCCAUUUGGAAGCUGCCGGCAGAACCGGAAAUCAAAGUCAUAACUCGUGGCGACUUGACGUCAUUUCUCUGUCCCAAACUCCGCACCGCGUACUCUGAAAACAACGAAGACAUGUUUGUCUUAUUUAGAGGGAGUAGAUGCAUCACACUGAGAGCUCAUGAUCCCAGUGUGAACAAAAUCGCUUUAAUAUUCCAAGUGAGUAUUUUGUAAGUAUUAAAAUGUGAAGAACUCUGGCGAUUCCAGUUUAAUCAGGUGAACUGGUGAUAGAUUCCGUCUCCAGAUGUUUCGUCGUAGAUUCGUCCUGACCACACCUGACUGUGUGUCAAAUAAAGAUACUAGAUAAAGAAGACCUGCCGAAAAACGUCGGCAUCACUACUUAAUAAAGUCUAUAUCCAUGUAAAUAACAUCUGCAGACAGUAAAAAGAAAUGUGCUGGCGAAAUAAAAAACACAUAUUUUUAUGAACGGUGAGAGGAAACGAUGUAAUCCAGAGAUAAAAUUACAGACCACAGUCUGACUCAUCAUGCCACCGAUUGAAUUGAUUUUUUUAUAGAGCGUUAAAGUUUUGCGAAGCCAGGGGGCGGGACUACUUGAUUGACAGUCCGGUCUGGAAUGAUUGACAGGUCCUAUGGAGGUGGCAGCAGAGACUCUGCUCUCCUCGUUUGGAUUAAUUCUGAUAUAAUAACUGUUGGUUUAGUAGAACAUUUUCCACAGACAGUUUUCCUGCCCGUUGGCUUGUUUUAACCAGUUUUCUACCUUCGGCUGAUUCUACCAGCAGACACUGAAAGGACUCUGAUAGUUGGAGUGAAAGUAGCAAUUCCUCCUGAAGGUCAGAGAUUGCAGCAUCUGAGGGCCUCUUCAAAAGAAGACGUAGUUGAUGAAGGCGUUCUGGAGCAGGACCAGAAAGACCAUGACCAAGCAGCCUUGAGAUCUUAGGCAGCGUCUCCCUCAGGUCCCUCUCUAUCUCCCCACACAUCCACCAACCACUGGAACACAUCUCCAAAGUUCUGUGGGGCCAGCUCAGCUUCCCCUCAGAAGAAGUGACGCCACCUGCCAGAUGAAGGAGCCUUUUGAGAGGCAGCUGGCAUCAUGAUUGGACUGUACUUUGGUCUGUUCCAAUUCAGCUUCAGCUCCAAAGACGGCAGGCGGGACGAGUCAACGGAGGCCGGGUGGACGAAGGCAUGCAGCUGACUCGAAUAAAAAAUGCAAUUUUUCAACAUGUUGUAAAAACGUGCCAUAUGAUGAAAUAAUGUAAAGGAGGCCUUGAAAAACACUCCAGAAAGGUUUUCUUUGAAAAAACAAUCAUCAUGAAUUUUGGCGCAAAAAAAAAAACGCCAUAGUAUACUAUGUCGAAAAAUGUCAUUUUUCAACAUGUUGGAAAAAUGUACCAUAUCAUGAAAUAAUGUAAAAUAGGCCGUGAAAAACACUCCAGAAAGGUUUUCUUUGAAAAAACAAACAUCAUGAAUUUUGGCGCAAAAAAAACGCCAUAGUAUACUGUCGGAAAAAAAAUGCAAUUUUUCAACAUGUUGUAAAAACGUGCCAUAUGAUGAAAUAAUGUAAAGGAGGCCGUGAAAAACACUCCAGAAAGGUUUUCUUUGAAAAAAAAAAUCAGCAUGAAUUUUGUCGCAAAAAAAACGCCAUAGCAUACCAUGUCGAAAAAUGUCACUUUUCAACAUGUUGUAAAAACGUGCCAUAUCAUGAAAUAUUGUAAAGUAGGCCGUGAAAAACACUCCAGAAAGGUUUUCUUUGAAAAAAAAAUAGUCAUGAAUUUUGGCGCAAAAAAAAAACGCCAUAGUAUACUAUGUCGAAAAAUGUCAUUUUUCAACAUGUUGUGUAAACAUGCCAUUUGAUGAAAUAAUGUAAAGGAGGCCUUGAAAAACACUCCAGAAAGGUUUUCUUUAAAAAAAUAAUCAUCAUGAAGUUUGGCGCAAAAAAAUGCCAUAGUAUACUAUGUCGGGAAAAAAAUGCGAUUUUUCAACAUGUAAAAAUGUGCCAUAUGAUGAAAUAAUGUAAAGGAGGCCGUGAAAAACACUCCAGAAAGGUUUUCUUUGAAAAAAAAAAUCAUGAAUUUUGUCGCAAAAAAAACGCCAUAGUAUACUGUCGAAAAAUGUCAUUUUUCAACAUGUUGUAAAAAUGUGCCAUAUCAUGAAAUAAUGUAAAGUAGGCUGUGAAAAACACUCCAGAAAGGUUUUCUUUGAAAAAAAAAUCAUCAUGAAUUUUGGCGCAAAAAAAACGCCAUAGUAUACUAUGUCGAAAAAAAAAUGCAAUUUUUCAACAUGUUGUAAAAACGUGCCAUAUGAUGAAAUAAUGUAAAGGAGGCCGUGAAAAACACUCCAGAAAGGUUUUCUUUGAAAAAAAAAUCAUCAUGAAUUUUGUCGCAAAAAAAACGCCAUAGUAUACUAUGUCGAAAAAUGUCAUUUUUCAACAUGAUGGAAAAAUGUACCAUAUCAUGAAAUAAUGUAAAGGAGGCCGUGAAAAACACUCCAGAAAGGUUUUCUUUGAAAAAAAAAAUCAUCAUAAAUUUUGUCGCAAAAAAAAGCCAUAGUAUACUAUGUCGAAAAAUGUCAUUUUUCAACAUGUUGUAAAAAUGUGCCAUAUCAUGAAAUAAUAUAAAGUAGGCUGUGAAAAAACCCCCAGAAAGGUUUUCUUUGAAAAAAAAUCAUCAUGAAUUUUGGCGCAAAAAAAACGCCAUAGUAUACUAUGUCGAAAAAUGUCAUUUUUCAACAUGUUGGAAAAAUGUACCAUAUCAUGAAAUAAUGUAAAAUAGGCCAUGGAAAACACUCCAGAAAGGUUUUCUUUGAAAAAAAAAAAAUCAUCAUGAAUUUUGGCGCAAAAAACCGCCAUAGUAUACUAUGUCGAAAAAUGUCAUUUUUCAACAUGUUGUGUAAACAUGCCAUUUGAUGAAAUAAUGUAAAGGAGGCCGUGAAAAACACUCCAGAAAGGUUUUCUUUGAAAAAAAAAUCAUCAUGAAUUUUGGCGCAAAAAAAAACGCCAUAGUAUACUAUGUCGAAAAAUGUCAUUUUUCAACAUGUUGGAAAAAUGUGCCAUAUGAUGACAUAAUGUAAAGGAGGCCGUGAAAAACACUCCAGAAAGGUUUUCGUUGAAAAAAAAAAUCAUCAUGAAUUUUGGCGCAAAAAAACGCCAUAGUAUACUAUGUCGAAAAAUGUCAUUUUUCAGCAUGUUGUGUAAACAUGCCAUUUUAUGAAAUAAUGUAAAGGAGGCCUUGAAAAACACUCCAGAAAGGUUUUCUUUGAAAAAACAAUCAUCAUGAAUUUUGGCGCAAAAAAACGCCGUAGUAUACUAUGUCGGAAAAAAAAUGCGAUUUUUCAACAUGUUGUAAAAACGUGCCAUAUGAUGAAAUAAUGUAAAGGAGGCCGUGAAAAACACUCCAGAAAGGUUUUCUUUGAAAAAAAAGUCAUCAUGAUUUUUGGCGCAAAAAAAGUGCCAUAGUAUACUGUCGGAAAAAAAAUGCGAUUUUUCAACAUGUUGUAAAAACGUGCCAUAUGAUGAAAUAAUGUAAAGUAGGCCGUGAAAACCACUCCAGAAAGGUUUUCUUUAAAAAAAAAAUAAAAAAUCAUCAUGAAUUUUGGCGCAAAAAAAUGCCAUAGUAUACUAUGUCGAAAAAUGUCAUUUUUCAACAUGUUGUGUAAACAUGCCAUUUGAUGAAAUAAUGUAAAGGAGGCCGUGAAAAACACUCCAGAAAGGUUUUCUUUGAAAAAAAAAUCAUCAUGAAUUUUGGCGCAAAAAAAACGCCAUAGUAUACUAUGUCGAAAAAUGUCACUUUUCAACAUGUAUUAAAAACGUGCCAUAUCAUGAAAUAAUGUAAAGUAGGCUGUGAAAAACACUCCAGAAAGGUUUUCUUUGAAAAAAAAAAUCAUCAUAAAUUUUGUCGCAAAAAAAAGCCAUAGUAUACUAUGUCGAAAAAUGUCAUUUUUCAACAUGUUGUAAAAAUGUGCCAUAUCAUGAAAUAAUAUAAAGUAGGCUGUGAAAAAACCCCCAGAAAGGUUUUCUUUGAAAAAAAAUCAUCAUGAAUUUUGGCGCAAAAAAAACGCCAUAGUAUACUAUGUCGAAAAAUGUCAUUUUUCAACAUGUUGGAAAAAUGUACCAUAUCAUGAAAUAAUGUAAAAUAGGCCAUGGAAAACACUCCAGAAAGGUUUUCUUUGAAAAAAAAAAAAUCAUCAUGAAUUUUGGCGCAAAAAACCGCCAUAGUAUACUAUGUCGAAAAAUGUCAUUUUUCAACAUGUUGUGUAAACAUGCCAUUUGAUGAAAUAAUGUAAAGGAGGCCGUGAAAAACACUCCAGAAAGGUUUUCUUUGAAAAAAAAAUCAUCAUGAAUUUUGGCGCAAAAAAAAACGCCAUAGUAUACUAUGUCGAAAAAUGUCAUUUUUCAACAUGUUGGAAAAAUGUGCCAUAUGAUGAAAUAAUGUAAAGGAGGCCGUGAAAAACACUCCAGAAAGGUUUUCGUUGAAAAAAAAAAUCAUCAUGAAUUUUGGCGCAAAAAAACGCCAUAGUAUACUAUGUCGAAAAAUGUCAUUUUUCAGCAUGUUGUGUAAACAUGCCAUUUUAUGAAAUAAUGUAAAGGAGGCCUUGAAAAACACUCCAGAAAGGUUUUCUUUGAAAAAACAAUCAUCAUGAAUUUUGGCGCAAAAAAACGCCGUAGUAUACUAUGUCGGAAAAAAAAUGCGAUUUUUCAACAUGUUGUAAAAACGUGCCAUAUGAUGAAAUAAUGUAAAGGAGGCCGUGAAAAACACUCCAGAAAGGUUUUCUUUGAAAAAAAAGUCAUCAUGAUUUUUGGCGCAAAAAAAGUGCCAUAGUAUACUGUCGGAAAAAAAAUGCGAUUUUUCAACAUGUUGUAAAAACGUGCCAUAUGAUGAAAUAAUGUAAAGUAGGCCGUGAAAACCACUCCAGAAAGGUUUUCUUUUAAAAAAAAAUAAAAAAUCAUCAUGAAUUUUGGCGCAAAAAAAUGCCAUAGUAUACUAUGUCGAAAAAUGUCAUUUUUCAACAUGUUGUGUAAACAUGCCAUUUGAUGAAAUAAUGUAAAGGAGGCCGUGAAAAACACUCCAGAAAGGUUUUCUUUGAAAAAAAAAUCAUCAUGAAUUUUGGCGCAAAAAAAACGCCAUAGUAUACUAUGUCGAAAAAUGUCACUUUUCAACAUGUAUUAAAAACGUGCCAUAUCAUGAAAUAAUGUAAAGUAGGCUGUGAAAAACACUCCAGAAAGGUUUUCUUUGAAAAAACAAUCAUCAUGAAUUUUGGCGCAAAAAAAACGCCAUAGUAUACUAUGUCGGAAAAAAAAUGCGAUUUUUCAACAUGUUGUAAAAACGUGCCAUAUCAUGAAAUAAUGUAAAGUAGGCCAUGAAAAACACUCCAGAAAGGUUUUCUUUGGAAAAAAAAAAUCAUCAUGAAUUUUGGCGCAAAAAAACGCCAUAGUAUACUAUGUCGAAAAAAAAAUGCAAUUUUUCAACAUGUUGUAAAAACGUGCCAUAUGAUGAAAUAAUGUAAAGUAGGCCGUGAAAAACACUCCAGAAAGGUUUUCUUUGAAAAAAAAAAACAUCAUGAAUUUUGGCGCAAAAAAAAUGCCAUAGUAUACUAUGUCGAAAAAUGUCAUUUUUCAACAUGUUGUGUAAACAUGCCAUUUGAUGAAAUAAUGUAAAGUAGGCUGUGAAAAACACUCCAGAAAGGUUUUCUUUGAAAAAAAAAGCAUCAUGAAUUUUGGCGCAAAAAAAAUGCCAUAGUAUACUAUGUCGAAAAAUGUCAUUUUUCAACACUAAAUCUUUUUGAAAAAUAUGUUUUACUUAAGUCCACCUGUUUCAGCCAUCUCUACCCAUCAUUAUGUACCACUCUAAGGUACAUAGAGUGCAGAGCACGUUGGUCUGCUCACAGGAAGUUAGCAUGAGCAAAAUCACUCCUCACAUGAGGCCUCUGUUUGCUGUGAUUUUCAAAGGUAAAGCAAUACUUUUGACAUAUUAUGGUGCCUAAGGAGUUGCUGAACACAAAUGUGUCAUUUGAAAUGUUAAAAAAAAAGAUUUAAAAGGGUAAAAUAAUUUUUCUCAACCAUUUGAAAGAGGUCAAUAUUUUAAAAAUCGCUGGGUCUCUUCAUAAAAAAACCAUUGAUUGUUGUUUUUAGUGCCCCAAAGAGAUAAGAAAUUUAAAAAAAUAAUUUUUUCAUUGCCUUUUUCUUGGUGAGGAUGUUUAAGGGUUAACUUAACAUCUGUAAACAAAACAAAAACGUAUCAACAAAGUUUUCUGUUAGAGUUUGUGUUCUUGUAAGUUUAACUCCAAGAUUUUAAAUACUUUCAUUUACUGCGAAUGAAUAUCGACUCCAAAUGUCUCACUAAUAAUCAUUAUCAGCCUUAGAAACCCACAAAACACCCCUCUAUACUCGACCACACUUAGUACAGUCCGGUUCCCCCUUCUAUAAAUCUGCUUGGAAUCUUCCACUUCCUGUUUGUCAAAGUGGCCUUCUACCUGGACAGGUUUUGUUGGAGCUCAUGCAACAAACAUUUUGGGUAACUGCACUUUAAUAUGGAUGGGUGACACUGAAUUAGAGUCUGUUUUAAUGAGACUGAGUUAAGAUGUGUAGCUCUGUCAUUAAAUAGGAAAUUAUUUCUCAGAAUUCACAGAGAAAAGUCUGAAAUGUUUGCUAGGUUAGCGUCCCACAUGUACUUUGGCUCAGCUAAAGCUAACUCUCUCCAACUUCUGGAUCUCUUGAGUUGCUUGUUGUUAAAAUAUCUUGCUAGAGGUGCUGAAGCUCAGAAAGUCUGAGAUGUUUGGUCAAAAUAAGCUCAUUCUCAAGUCUUAUCUGAACUGUCCUCUUUUGUUUGAACUUUCCCUAAACUUAGGAGUUAAUGACAGAGCAGCACAUCCAGACUCAGUCUCAUUUUUGUAGAGAUUAAACUUCAGUGUCAUUCAUCGAUGUUAAAGUGCAGUUUUUCAAAUGUUUGUUGCACAUGAUCCCGACCAAACCAGUCCAGGUGGAAGACGAUGUGAAGAGAAAGCUCCAGAGGAUGAAUAUCACACAUUUACGUUGGAAAUAAAUGUCCUUUAAUUAGACAUUGUCAUGCAAAAGUUGGAUUUCCCUUUAAUGAUGUUCAAAUCUUUGUUGUGUGUUUUGUUGAUGUUGGUUUCUAAAUGUUUUUUGACAUUCUGCCCCAAAGAUUAAAACCUUUUCCGGCUCACAAGCUGCAAAAGUUCACACAUUAUCAACUAUCUUUCUGACUAAACUAAGAUAAAAAAGUGAAAAACCGCCUGAUUCCUGCAUCAUGAAUGUAAAUCUUUUUGGUUUUUAUGACGGUAAACUGAAUAUAUUUGGGUUUGACAUUUUAUAAACCAAAACAAGAAAUGAAUUACUGCAGAAAGCAAUCAACUGAUUAAUGUACAAAGAAAAUGUGUUUUCCAACAUAUAUGGCUGAAUUACUCCAACAUUACAAGAUACAUACAAUUUUUAUUCAAUUUUAUUUAUAUAACGCCAAUUACAGGUCAAAUUGUCUCAAGACGCUUUAUUUUUAUAUUUUUUUUGUCAUAUUUAAAAUAUGACGAAGUAAGAAAUUUAAACCUCUUGACUAAUCCAAUUUAUUAUUUGGUUUUUAAGAGACUAAUCGACAACUAAAAUAAGUCUCCACUAACACUAAUAAACAUGAGGUCAAAUCGAAGGAACAGUUUUAAAUACUGCAGUCCCACGAUGACAAGAAUAAAGUUUGUCAACAAAAACUAAAUCUGCUGGUGGAUUCUUUUAAAAUCCUAAUAAAGGAUAAUAAAGUGUGAUACUAAAGGUUUGUGGUGCUAAAAAUGUCAAAGUAAAGAUAUCAAGUUGAACAUCUGGAUGGAGGUUGAUAAAAGUUGACCUCCCUUCAUUCUCUGGAACCGACUCCAUGGAUUUUAUGGAUGGUGGUUAAAGACCUGCUCGUCCAGUGGUCUUCCUUCUAGUCGCUGUAAAAAGUCAGUCCAUCCUGGCCGACUUCAACACCUCUUCAUGACAACUUGUUCUGCCUCAGACCUGGUGGAAACUCCAGAAACUCGGGAAAACCUGUGGAGACUCGAAGAACUCGUGGAGACUCGAAGAACUCGUCAGGCGGGGGAAGGUGUGGUGGGUGGUGGUGGGA